CAACUUACAUGGCUAGGGGAUAGAUACCAUGAUCAAGAAGGUGGUCACACAGGGCGAGGCUUAACAUGGCACUUUCCGGUUAUGCUGACCCCUGCGAAUUCCCCAAAAUGUGGGACUCUCGGACUGAUAAUUUUGUGGGGUAGUAGGGGACUGCCGUUCGCGCCUCCCCUGA